rnacentral:rRNA from 1 species
CAGCCGCCGCGGUAAUACGGAGGAUCCAAGCGUUAUCCGGAUUUAUUGGGUUUAAAGGGCGCGUAGGUGGCCUGUUAAGUCAGGGGUGAAAGACGGUAGCUCAACUAUCGCAGUGCCCUUGAUACUGAUGGGCUUGAAUGAACUAGAGGUAGGCGGAAUGUGACAAGUAGCGGUGAAAUGCAUAGAUAUGUCACAGAACACCAAUUGCGAAGGCAGCUUACUAUGGUUUGAUUGACACUGAGGCACGAAAGCGUGGGGAUCAAACAGGAUUAGAUACCCCCGUAGUCCCUGUCUCUUAUAC